UACGUAGGGGGCUAGCGUUGUCCGGAAUCAUUGGGCGUAAAGAGCGUGUAGGCGGCCCGGUAAGUCCGCUGUAAAAGUCAAAGGCUCAACCUUGAAUGUCAGUGGAUACUGCCGGGCUAGAGUCCCGGAAGAGGCGAGUGGAACUCCUGGUGUAGCGGUGGAAUGCGCAGAUAUCAGGAAGAACACCAACGGCGAAGGCAGCUCGCUGGGACGGUACUGACGCUGAGACGCGAAAGCGUGGGGAGCGAACAGG
rnacentral:rRNA from 1 species